CCUGUUGCGUUUUAUUGGU
rnacentral:siRNA from 1 species